AGCGUUUGGUCAAAUGUCAGUUUGGUGUAGAAAAAUGGUGGCCUAAUGAUGGUAGCAUAAUAAUGAUAUGUUAAUGGGAUUGGACCACUGUAGCAUCUAUUUAUCUAUUUAAAUUAUUAAUUUUGCAGUAAAAAAGGAAAUUAAUAUAGUAGUAAAACUUAUUGGGUUUAUUUUAAAGAUAUAGUUAGACCAUUAUUAUGGGCUGACCAAACGUACUGGGCCGACCCAUAAUAAUAGCCAAGCUAUAGAUUAGACUUUGAGAUUUACUAAUUGAUAGAGAAAUUACGGGGAAUUUUCUGAUCGAUAAUAUGAAAUGGCGGACGAAAGGAAAGCGGAGAUACCUGCGAUAUGGGAUGCCUUCCUCGAUUUAGGCUUCCGUCGUUUCGUUUAUUCCUCGCUCGCCGGCGCCGUCUCCGGCGUCUUUAUUUUCCAGGAGAGGCAUUCUGCUGAGGGAUUUAUGGAGCCGUACCCAAUUCCGGCUGCGGAAUUGCAGUAGGUCUCGACGUGCCGUCGCUCCUCUGCAAGUUGAUGUUGUUAAGGAUGAUGUGAGUGCAAGGAACUGUGUCACUGCAAGCAAACUUCAUGGCCUUUUGGCUUCUUGAUGUCCCGGUUAUAUUUCGAUACAUUAUUUGGGUUAUGUUGACUGCUGACGUCUGAUGACACAAGAAAUGAGGUUGUUAGGUCGUAUAGUGUGUGUGCACGUGUUGGUUAGAGGUAUCAAAAGAUCGGGGCAGUACAUUGUUACCUUAAAAGCCCGAUGGAUUGACAGUUCUAGUGGUGAAAGUGUACCUGGUUUUGGAAACUCUUUGGCGAGUCACAGUAGAAUUGGUCUAUGAUGAUCGGGUUGGUAACGUCUUCCAUUCUGACGUCUUGGUAGCGCACUGCACGCACAUAGCCGGAGCCUCCCUGCAACAGCAACAGGGCAUAUAUAGCCACUUCGGAUAGCAAAAAGUAUUAUUAUAAGGUCUUUUCAGUAAGGAAGGAUUGAUAAUGGUUCUCCAUUUCUCCCCAGCUUGAUGCUCAAGGGAAAAGUGUCUUACUAAACUGAUCUGUAUUUUGUUGUCAAAGGAAGUAUUAUAAGUUACCUGCCAAGUCUUGAUUCUGAGGCCAUUGGUCGUGCCUCGGAAGAGGAAGAAUUUGAGGAUAGUGUAAGUGGAGAUCAAGAGGAUGAAGCAAUGGAGGAUGAAGAUAAAAUGGAUGCCGAUGAUAGUGAUGAUGAUGAGCUAGAAGACUAUGUUGAGCUUGAUGAUUGAUGUCUAUUGAGCUUAUCAUGGUUUUAUUUUUUGUUGAACACUUGAACUAAAGACUUUAAUUGCUAGACUUUUAUAUAAUUGUUUUCUAUUUUAUGCUUUAUUACAUGUUUUUAGAGUUUUUAAUGUUA